rnacentral:rRNA from 1 species
GACGAACGCUGGCGGCGUGCUUAACACAUGCAAGUCGAACGCGCCUGUCCUCUGGGUUUCUGGGGGGUGGGUGAGUGGCGAACGGGUGAGUAACACGUGAGUAACCUGCCCCCUUCUUCGGGAUAACGGUCUGAAAGGGCUGCUAAUACCGGGUAUUCACUGGUCUCCGCAUGGGGUCUGGUGGAAAGGUUUUUUUCUGGUGGGGGAUGGGCUCGCGGCCUAUCAGCUUGUUGGUGGGGUGAUGGCCCACCAAGGCUUUGACGGGUAGCCGGCCUGAGAGGGUGCCCGGUCACAUUGGGACUGAGAUACGGCCCAGACUCCUACGGGAGGCAGCAGUGGGGAAUAUUGCACAAUGGGCGCAAGCCUGAUGCAGCGACGCCGCGUGAGGGAUGGAGGCCUUCGGGUUGUGAACCUCUUUCGCCCGUGGUCAAGCCGCGACGUGGGUCGUGGUGAGGGUAGUGGGUAAAGAAGCGCCGGCUAACUACGUG